rnacentral:rRNA from 1 species
GACGAACGCUGGCGGCGUGCUUAACACAUGCAAGUCGAACGGUAAGGCCCUUCGGGGUACACGAGUGGCGAACGGGUGAGUAACACGUGGGUGAUCUGCCCUGCACUUCGGGGUAAGCCUGGGAAACUGGGUCUAAUACCGGAUAGGACUCCUGGCUUCAUGGUUGAGGGUGGAAAGCUUUUGCGGUGUGGGAUGGGCCCGCGGCCUAUCAGCUUGUUGGUGGGGUAAUGGCCUACCAAGGCGACGACGGGUAGCCGGCCUGAGAGGGUGACCGGUCGCACUGGGACUGAGGUACGGCCCAGACUCCUACGGGAGGCAGCAGUGGGGAAUAUUGCACAAUGGGCGCAAGCCUGAUGCAGCGACGCCGCGUGAGGGAUGACGGCCUUCGGGUUGUAAACCUCUUUCAGCUAUGACGAAGCGCAAGUGACGGUAGUAGCAGAAGAAGGACCGGCCAACUACGUGCCAGCCGCCGCGGUAA